rnacentral:rRNA from 1 species
UACGAAGGGGGCUAGCGUUGUUCGGAAUCACUGGGCGUAAAGCGCACGUAGGCGGCUUUUUAAGUCAGAGGUGAAAGCCUGGAGCUCAACUCCAGAACUGCCUUUGAUACUGAGAGGCUUGAGUCCGGGAGAGGUGAGUGGAACUGCGAGUGUAGAGGUGAAAUUCGUAGAUAUUCGCAAGAACACCAGUGGCGAAGGCGGCUCACUGGCCCGGUACUGACGCUGAGGUGCGAAAGCGUGGGGAGCAAACAGGG